GAGAAUAUCUUUAUGUUCUUCAUAUCCCAUGGCAACAUUUUCUUAAGUAGAACACAAAAAAUACCAACCAUAAUAGCAAAAACAAAAUUGGAUUACAUUAAAGUUAAAAAUUCUACUCAUCGACAGUUAGCACUGAUAAAAUUGUAAGCCACAGAGUGGGAAAAGAUAUUUUAGACACAUUCAACAAUGACUUACGUGGAGAAUAUAUGUCUCUUAAAAAUCAAUCAGAAAAGGACAGUCACAUAAUUUUAAAAUAAUAAAUAAAAAUUCUGCAUAGGUUUUUCAGGAAAUAAGAUAUCUAAAAUCCAGUUAGUACAUUAAAAUGUGUUCAGCUUCAUGGCUGUUGGUACAAUACACAUUAAAAUCGUAAUGCAAUAGUACCACACAUCCACUGGAAAGGCUUUAAAAAAAAUAAAAAUAAAAUAAAAUAAAAAGUAAAACAUAUCAACUGUUUGCAAGCAAGUAAAAACCACCAGGUGUCUCACAUACUACUAGUAAACACAUAAAUUGGCUUAACCACUUUGGAAAACUGGUGCCAUCCAUAAAGCUGAAAAUAUGCAUGACUUACGAUCUAGCAAUUCUCUUAGGACAAAAGGAUAUUCAAAAGAAUGCAUACAUAUGUUCACCAAAAGACAUUUACAAUUAUAUUAUUUGCAGCACUAUCCAUAGUAGCCAAAAUUGAGGGGAAAAAUGUCCAGAGGUUGAUGAAUAAUGUAUGACAUAGUCACGUAAUUGAAUAUUGUAUUGCCUUGAAAGAACUAAACUAUGUAUAACAACAUAGAUGGAUCUCAUGAGCCUAAUGCGGAGUGAAAGAAGCCAUAUAAUAAAUAGCGCACAAAUUGUAAGAUUCUACUUACAUCAAGUUCAAAAACAGACAGAAUGAUUUAUUAUGUAGAAGUCAUAAUAGCCACUUCUUUAGAGAGGAGUAGGGCCCAGAAAGUGUUCCUGGGGAUCCAUUAAUGUUCUGUUUCCUCUUCUGAGUAUUGUUAUAAUGAAAUGUGAGCUUCAUGAGAAGUCAUUGAGCUGC
rnacentral:lncRNA from 1 species